CUGAUCCACUGGUUUAAUUUUAAAAUAAAAACGACUAAGAAAAGGAAUUACAUGUCCUUAUCAAAUCCCAGUCAUUAAUAUGCGUAAAUUGCAACCCACACGGGGAAACACCAAUUUAUAAAACGUAUACAUUAGACAAAUGAUAUCUGGGGAGGUGGGGUGGGAGAGGUGCAAGGUAAAUUCUCAUCGUUAACACUGGCCUCAGUAAGUUUGCUCAAAGUUUAAUUGUUUGGAGAUGUCACGCAAGCUGUACUCUGCCUUUCUGCAGAGCUGAGGGAGAAUAAAUUAGAAAGGUGCAAGUUUAACAAAAAGAGCUCGUGGAAAAUGGUCCAUUUCUUUCCUAUCCCUCUCCUCACAGGCCGUCUGGACAAAAAGAGAAAUCUACGGAAGAAUGUGGAGUACACACUGCCCAGCAUUGUCUAGGAGACGGAAAGAGAGCCCAGGCAACACACCAAGAGUAAGCUGUGUCCUGGGCGUGUGUAUCUUUGGACAGCAGAGCUUCCGGCUGCAGCGAGACGGGACUCACCGCGCCCGAGGGCUCCAGCAACCAGACCUAGGGAGGCUAGCGCGGCACACAGGUUAGAUAUACUUUCUCCUCCUCCACCUGCGCCGCCCUCCGCCUGGGUGCCAGGAGUGAUGAUGGAGGCGAUGGUGUCAAGGAGUAGGUGCCUGUGAGUGGGCGCCAACUUCAACGCCAACGCGAGCUUAGAUGCAACCAAGACCAAGGCUUGUAUCGACAGGCCAUCCUUCCCAGGGACCUGGAAGCCAACUACGCAACUCAGCAGGAGACUCUUCAAAGUCCUGUGUUUUCGGGUUUUUUUUUUUUUUUUAACAGACUGGUUUAUUUCAUGCAAUUCAUGAAAACCACCGCCAGACCACCUCUUACAACUUUUCCGCUCUUGGGCGGGGGCGCCAGGGUUGUCUCGCAACGCAAGAUUCCCUAUUACCAAGAGUUAGGCUCCUACCAGGAGGGUAUGCUGAGCAAAGCUUGAGGCCCUUUGGGCUACA